GAAUAUUGGACAAUGGGGGCAACCCUGAUCCAGCCAUGCCGCGUGUGUGAAGAAGGCCUUCGGGUUGUAAAGCACUUUCAGUAGGGAGGAAAGCCUGGUGGCUAAUAUCCACUGGGAUUGACGUUACCUACAGAAGCAGCACCGGCUAACUUCGUGCCAGCAGCCGCGGUAAUACGAAGGGUGCAAGCGUUAAUCGGAAUUACUGGGCGUAAAGCGCGCGUAGGCGGUUUGGUAAGUGUGAUGUGAAAGCCCCGGGCUCAACCUGGGAAUUGCCUCACAUACUGCCAGGCUAGAGUACGGUAGAGGGGGGUAGAAUUCCACGUGUAGCGGUGAAAUGCGUAGAGAUGUGGAGGAAUACCAGUGGCGAAGGCGGCCCCCUGGAUCGAUACUGACGCUGAGGUGCGAAAGCGUGGGGAGCAAACAG
rnacentral:rRNA from 1 species